CUACAUGGGCUUAAAACCUUGAAGUUAAGUGAUUGCUUAAACCUUGUGAGUCUUCAGGUCGGUAUUUGUAGUUUGAGCUCUCUUCAAACUCUUUUGAUGGAUGGGAGUUUAGAACUAAAGGCCUUUCUAGAUAUCAAUAUUGGAAGUCUAAAAGCCCUUGAAUGGUUAGAUUUGUCAUAUUGCGAAAACCUUGAGAGUCUUCCGGAUAGUAUUUGUAGUUUGACCUCUCUUCAAACUCUUUUGCUGAAUGGGUGUUCAAAACUGAAAGCCUUUCCAUACAUCAAUAUUGGAAGCCUCAAAGCUCUUGAAUUGUUAGCUUUGUCAUAUUGCGAAAACCUUGAGAGUCUUCCGGACAGUAUUUGUAAUUUGACAUCUCUUCAAACUCUCAUGUUAAAAGAGUGUUCAAAAUUGAAGGGCUUUCCAGAUAUCAAUAUUGGAAGUCUAAAAGCUCUUAAAUUGUUAGAUUUGUCAUAUUGCGAAAACCUGACAGUAUUUGUAGUUUGACCUCUCUUCAAACUCUUUUGCUGAAUGGGUGUUCAAAAUUGAAGGCUUUUCCGGAUAUUAAUAUUGCAAAUCUAAAAGCUCUUGAAUUGUUAGAUUUUUCAUAUUGUGAAAACUUUGGGAGUCUUCCAGAUAGGAUUUGUAGCUUAACCUCUCUUCAAACUCUUUUGUUGAAAAAGUGUUCAAAAUUGAAGGCCUUUCCAGAUAUCAAUAUUGGAAGUCUAAAAGCUCUUAAAUUGUUAGAUUUGUCAUAUUGCGAAAACCUUAAGAGUCUUCCAGACAGUAUUUGUAGUUUGACCUCUCUUCAAACUCUUUUUUUGAAUGGGUGUUCAAAAUUGAAGGCCUUUCCAGAUAUCAAUAUUGGAAGUCUAAAAGCUCUUGAAUUGUUAGAUUUGUCAUAUUGCAAAAACCUUGAGAGUCUUCCGCAUAGUAUUUGUAGUUUGACCUCUCUCCAAACACUUUUGUUGAAUGGGUGUUCAAAACUGAAGGCCUUUCCAGAUAUCAAUAUUGGAAGUCUAAAAGCUCUUAAAUUGUUAGAUUUGUCUUAUUGCAUAUACCUUGAGAGUCUUCCGCACAGUAUUUGUAGUUUGACCUCUCUUCAAACUCUUUUGUUGAAUGGGUGUUCAAAAUUGAAGGCCUUUCCAUGUAUCAAUAUUGGAAGUCUAAAAGCUCUUAAAUUGUUAAAUUUGUCAUAUUGCGAAAACCUUGAGAGUCUUCCGGAUAGUAUUUGUAAUUUGACCUCUCUUCAAACUCUUUUGCUGAAUGGGUGUUCAAAACUGAAGGCCUUUCCAGAUAUCAAUAUUGGAUGUCUAAAAGCCCUUGAAUUGUUAGACUUCUCAUAUUGCAAAAACCUUGAGAGUCUUCCGCACAGUAUUUGUAGUUUGACCUCUCUUCAAACUCUUUUGCUGAAUGGGUGUUCAAAACUAAAGGCUUUUCCAGAUAUCAAUGUUGGAAGUCUAAAAGUUCUAGAAUUGUUAGAUUUGUCAUAUUGCGAAAGCCUUGAGAGUUUUCCGGACAGUAUUUGUAGUUUGACCUCUCUUCAAACUCUUUGGCUGAAUGGGUGUUCAAAACUGAAGGUCUUUCCAGAUGUCAAUAUUGGAAGUCUAAAAGCUCUUGAAUUGUUAGAUUUGUCAUGUUGUAAAAAGCUUGAGAGUCUUCCGAUGAGCAUUUGCAAUUUGAGCUCUCUCAAAACUCUGCGGAUUAAAGAUUGUCCAAAACUCAAGGGAAUAUUAAAGAUGAACCUAGGGGUUGAUUUAUGCUCCUCGAGAUCUUUGAAUCUGACUUGUCACAUUUCAAAUUCAGGAGUAAUCUGGGAUAAUGACUGCUUUUCCUCAUUAAAAGCAUUAAAUCCAUGGUGCCCCCUGUCAUCACUGGUAGAAUUAUCUGUAAGAAACUCUAAUCUCAUGGAACGAGACAUCCUCAGUGCUAGUUUUCGCUUAUCCUCAAUGCAAAUAUUAUCUCUAAGGAACUUCCCUUUGAUGGUAGGAGGAAUCCUUGAUGACAUUUUCCAUCUAUCUUCAUUGGUAGAAUUAUCUCUUAGUGAAUGCAAUCUGAUGGAAGUAGGAACCCUCCAUUAUGUUUGGAACCUAUCUUCACUGCUAAGAUUAUAUCUAAGAAACUGUAAUCUAAUGGAAGGAGAGAUCCCCAAUCAUAUUUGGCACCUAUCAUCAUUG
rnacentral:lncRNA from 1 species